UCCCCUGUAAUAAUAUUGCUCUGCUAGCCCAAUACACGAGAGGGGGACUAUAUAAGAAUCAAUGAAGCUGUCACUAUCACGAACUACCCCACGAUCUGGCAUAUUGGGUACAAUCGCAGAUAAAUACGGUAUAAGCACCACGCCUACACAAUAUCUACCAUUUACCCAUGGAUCCGAUGGAUAAACGCUAUACGAUCCUAAGCAUGUAUAUAGAUCCAAUCUAACUAAGCCAAGUACAUAACUAUGAUAAACUAAGAACAAUAUAAUCUUGAAUAUAAGCAAGUAGAGCAAAGUCAUAAGCAAUAUAUUGAAGUAGAACAAAGUCAUAUUCAUAAUAUUGAAGAACAAAGAUAAUUAGAAGAACAAUUAGAAGCACAAUUAGAGAAUUACCAAGAAUCCUCUUGACAGAUCCGGAAACCAAUCGAAGAUUGACUCCUUCUAGUUCUAAUCCUAUGUAGCUAUGCUAAUCUAGAUGUCUAAUUGAUGUGGUGGCUCUAAUCUUGAUCAGAGGCUUCUUCUCCCUUGAGGAACAAUGAAUUAGGGUUGAGAGGCUCUCUCCUCCAGGGCACAGGGGGUCUAGUUUUAUAGUCCCUUCAAAUGAAUAUGGGCCGUUGGAUCAAACCGACAUUGAUUGAAUGGUUAUCCUUGAUCCUUUAGGUCGGUGGAGAUCUCCCGAGAAAUAGAGUCCUAAUUGGACUCCAACAAAGGGCGGGCGCCCAGGGCAGGAGGGCGGGCGCCCUGCCUCUGGCCCCUUUCGGUCUCCGCUUGCUUCCCGUGGCUUCUGGAGUCUUCUAGAUGUAAGAUAAUUGCACGGUAUGUUAAUAUCUCUAUGUAAUCCCAACGUGUGGGCCUUUCUUCCGUAUUUCCUGAUAACCCCCUGCAGAAAUAGACAAACACCAAAACUCGUGGAAUUCUAUCAGAUAAAACCCUAAGUCUAGAUGUCGAUUUCAUUUGGAUCCUUUUCUUUAUUUAUUUGAUAAUUAAAUUUGAUACUUAAGGACCGUCAACAAACUCCCCCAAGCUUACCUCUUGCUCGUCCCUGAGCAAGGAUAUACUCAGUGAUGGAUUAGAAGUUGUUGUAAUGCCUUUAAAAAUUGACGGUACACAUGCUUUUUAAAUAAGAUCUCAUCUCUGAGUUAGAGUAAACUGUCAAGACUUAAAACUUACUUACUUUACCUUUCACCAUGGGACUUGUAACCGUCACUUCUGUCUUGAGUGGUUAAAAGAUAGAACAGUCUAGUCAAGUGCCUUGUCUCUUAUUCUUGAUCAGCUAUAGCUCUGGAGUUUUUGCAGAUUUUCAAAUAAAACUCAGAGAUUCCUUGUAUGACUCUCUCAUAUCUCUCUUUUGUGGUAUUUCUGGAUCCUUACCAAGGCAGUGAUGGUAUAUGCCUUUUCUCAAAAUAUGUAGUAUUUGUGGUAUACAGCAUAGUGACAUUACCUUCUCUCUCACCCUACUCUAAUAAGGCUUUUAUAUCUGGAGCUCAUAGGUGGGAGAUAAAAUAUACAUACUUUCAAGACAUUUAUUGUAUAGUCAAACCAUGGAUCCAAAGAAACAAAUCAAUAAGUCAAAUCAAGAUGUCUAGCGAAUGAAUGGUGUAUGGUGAUGAUGGUGAUAACAAUGGUGGAAGUCUAAUUCUACUUUGCUCUUUUGAGGGGAUACAUACCUUCCUUGCUUUUUGAAAUUUUGUGAGGAGAAUGAGAUGCUCUAUAUUCUUUUCUUCUCUCAGGUGGGUAUCUUGUACCCCUAAUUCUACUGUCGGACACUUGUCCAUUUUUAUCUCUCGUCUCACUUGUUCUUUUCUUUCGAGGUUCCGAGCACUUGCCUCUUUUUAUUUCCUCGUAUCUUUUUUCUUUCUUUUUUUAGAGCACUCAUCUCUUGAGAUAAUAUAGCAAGUGGUAGUAACAAGAUAACUUGAGCAUUUAUUUCACAAGGGAAAAACAGAAAUAUUUUUGGCUAUUCUCUCCCGGAUUAGGAGUAGAAUAUUUUUGGGUGGUUCUGGAGAUGGAAAUGGAUGGAUAUAUGUGGAUGGUACUUCCGGAGUGGAAGUAGCAUAUAUGAGUGAACGUGCAAGUGAAUCUUGAUUUAACCACAUGACAAGCUCCUAGGGGUCUACACAGCUUGACCACACUCAAUGCUCAUAAGCAGUAAAUAGUAAAUGUGUGGCUCAAAGUCUAGCAAGCAUGUAUAUAUGGCUGUGGUAGGAAUUUAAAACUCUCAUCAUACAGAAACUCGUCAUGCAAUAUUUUAAAGAUUUUCAAAGAUAAAAUUCUCCAGAAUUCUAGCAUCUCUAGGAACAGAUAAACAGCAGCUCAACCUUCCCAUAUCGUAUCCGUUAACAACUUAGACUUCAGAUCAAGUUUUCAUCCCACAAGUUUAGGUCUAGAGCAAGCUUUAAAUUAUAACAGUUAUGUCUAAACUUGAGAGAGAACUUAAAAUGUGCAAAUUAGGCAGAGCAACUAUUCAUCAUAUCCAUGCUUGAGUUUUAUUUAGAUACAGAUUAGCAUAGCCACUUUAUUUAUUUAUUAAACACACUAAGCAAAAGAUAUAUAUAUAAGUAUAAAAAUCUUUAUUUGGUUUUUCCUGGUUUAUGUAUAUGUAGUAUAAGUAUGAAGAUAGAUAGAAAUACUUAUCGAGAUAAAUGGGGGUGCUCGCUCGAUGUAGCUAGCAGGUGGCAGAGGUGUAUUUGAAAGUCAGCAGCAUCCUGACAGCGAUUAGAAUGUCCUCCGUUUGCUAGUCUUCUUGAUUCUUAAAUUCUGUGGAGCUCAAAUAGACAACAAAGCUUGUGGAACUGAUUAAGUGUUAGCAUAAAUAUCUAGCCUUUAUCAUGUUGAGACUCCUCAAUAAAUAUUACUCCCUGUUUUUAUAUUUUCGUUUUAUAAAGCAGAAAAGAAAAAUUUAUUUUAUUUUUAUGCCACCACAGUGAAUGUACUUAUGGGUUUUAUGCCACUCGUAUACUCACAUGGGGCUUACUGUUUUUCACAUUUUUAUUUUCUUUUUAAGAUAGUAUGAACAUAAUUAACUAAGUAAACUAUUUGAAAUAAUUAAAAGGAAAGGAUAACUACCAAGUUUACCUCUUGGCAAGGCGUUCGGUGUUUUUAAGUCCUUCGAACGGGACUCUCCGUUUUCUUAAUUGUCCUGGGAUUCGUUGGGUGGCGGAGUCGCUACUUUCGGCGGCGCCUCCUCUUCAUGUAUAGUUCUCUUCUCUUUCCACACCUGACUCGGUGCUACGGUCUCCUCUGGAUAAUUCUGUUUAAACUCUACGUCUUCUGACCUUAUCACUUCUCCUUCGUAGUCUGCCCAUCCGUCCCUGAUGAUCUGCCUCCUCUGGUUGCGGUUGCGUCGUUUUCUUACCUGCUUAGAUUCUGCAACGAUAUAGUUAGGGUCAGUAAAAUAACGGCGUACCUUCUCUGAGGGGAAGUGCAUAUGGACUUCUCCGGUUCCAAUGUAGAUGAUUGCUUUAACGGUGCUGAGGAACGGUCUUCCAAGGAUGAUGGGUGGAUCAUAUUCGUCUUCUCCCAUGUCAAUAACCUGAAAGUCUGUGUAGACAAAAUGAUCGUCUAUUUUGACUGGGACAUCAGUUACUGUUCCUUUAACUUCUCGAAAUGUCUGAUCUGCCAUCUGGAGCUGAAUGUAUGUUGGUUGUAGGGGUAUGGUUCCGAACAAGAGCCGAUAGGUGACUGUGGCCAUUAUGUUGACGCCCGAUGCGGUGUCACAAGUCGUCUUGUAGAAGUUGUAUCCAUUUAUGGAGCAGUAAAUGCUUGGCAUUCCUAGGUCAUCCUUCUUGGUCAAAAAUGGUGACUUAAGUUGGUGAUCUUGGCCUCCAUGAACUAUAGUGACCAUCUUAGCUGACUCGGUCCACACUUGCUUGUUCCUGUUCUUCCUGUUGGUCCUCUUCCUUGAUUCACGUCUGGAUUGAUCUAGGAUUUGUGUAGUCUUGUUCUUGAAGAAAAAUGUUUCCUUCCUCCCUUUGAUGUAGAAACUGAUCUUUGCAGCUCUAGCGUAAAUGAUAGCUCCCGAGGUGUUCAAGAAUGGCCUCCCUAGGAUGAUAGGUGCUCUCUCAUCAUUACCGGUCUCUACCAUUACGAAGUCUGCUAGGGCAUACAAGGUACCAACUCGGACACAAAGGUUCUUCAAUAUUCCUUUUGGAAAACUUAUCGUCUGAUCUGCAAACUGCAAACACAUGGUUGUCUCUAAUAAAGGAUAUGUAAAGAAUUUUUCAUAGAGUACCCUGGGUAUAAUGUUGACGCUGGAGCCAAAGUCGCAGAGUGCUUCUGGAACGUCCACCAUGCCGAUGGAGAUCGGGAUGACGGGGCGUCCUGGAUCGCCUCUCUUGACCGGCAGAAGGUCAGUAGUGAAUUCAGUGACGGGGUUACUCUAGUUACCUGCAUCAAACAUGUCUACAAGAUUUGCAGAUUGUAAUCCUUCCGGUUGUGAUGGUAUACCGGGGUUAGUAGUAGGAACAACAGUAGCUAUUCGAUUUAACUGAGAUUCAAUCAUUUUAUUAAAGCUAAUUUGUUUCUUGAUGACAGUAGAGAAAUUAUCCAUUCUAUUAUUUAUAUUUUCUAGCAUUUUAUCAUUAGAUGCCAAUUUCUUAGAUAGGUUAUCCAUUAGCUUUCCUUGAUUAGACACUAACUCUCUCAGAGGUGGAAAAUUAUUAUUAUUGUUGUAAGAAUUGUUACCUUGAUAAUUACCUGAGUAGUUAGGCCUCUGUUGAUUCCAACCUUGAUUUUGUUGAGAACGGUUGUAGUAGUUGUUGUUGUUGAUGUAGUUCACAUCCUCAAGCAUCUCAGGGCAGUGAUUGCCUGAGUUUCCAGUAUCUCCACACUCCUCACAAGUCAUGUGAGAGUCGUAGAUGUGCAUAACUUCUUUCUUAUCUCUAGCUCUAUCGUCGAGCUUCUUCAUGAGCAGGUCUAGCUUUGCAGACAGCAUGUCUACCUCCUUGAGCUGAUGCAUACCUCCACCUCUCUUGCGUGUCUGGGUCCUCUCUUCAUUCCAGCUUUGGUUGGACGCCAUCUUCUCCACAAGAGCUGUGGCUUGUGGUAUGGUAAGUGAUAAGAAUGCUCCUCCAGCUGCAGCAUCCAUGGUCUCUAGGGCACUGUUGCCAAGCCCAUGAUAAAACGUCUGCAUCAAUAGCCAACUCUCCAUUCUAUGAUGAGGACAUUCUAGGAUGUAGUCUUGAAAGCGCUCCCAUGCUUCUAGAACAGAUUCAUCAUUUUGUUGCUGAAAACUUGUAAUCUUGCCACGGAGAGCGUUGGUCUUGCCCAUGGGAAAGAACUUUGCUAGGAAGUUUGUUGAGCAGAGUGCCCACGUAGUAUUCUUCUCCUUUGUAGCGUAGAACCACUGCUUCGCUCUUCCUAACAGUGAGAAUGGGAAGAGGCGAAGUAGUAUAGCAUCUCUGGAAACUCCUGAUAUGGUAAAUGUGUUGCAAAUCUCCAGGAAGUGUUGUAGAUGAGCACUAGCAUCUUCAUGUGCCUUCCCACAGAACUGGUUGGAUUGCACCAUGUUGAUAAGUCCAGGCUUGAGCUCAAAGUUGCCGUCGAUCUCUGCAGCAGGUCCAGUGCGGAUGUUGUCCGUAGUGGGAGCUGAGAACUCGUAGAUUGAUUUGUUCGCCAUGGCUUCGAACUCUGAGGACAUGUUCCGGUGAUAUUCUUGAUUGGAUGAAGCUUUUUGCUGAAGUGUUGAUGAUCUCUUCUUGAGCUUGGUUCUCGUCUUCUUGAAUAAUGCUUCGGGAUUGUCAAUAAAAUUUCCUGGAAGAUGUCUUCUAUUCAUACAUUCCCCUGCAUAAGAUAAAAUAGAAAAAUAUCGGGGUGAAACUGUUUGAGAGAAUAGAUAAGCUCAAUCAUAUUAGUGAUGCGAAUGAUAACUCAAAAUCCUUUAUUCCAUUCCUGAUUAGUAAUCAACCUUCCCCGGCAACGGCGCCAAAAAUGCUUGUUGGGUAUUCUUAACAUCAUUACCAAAAGUAGACAGUUUUCUAAAUCUAGUAACAGUGCCAAAAAUGCCAAACCUAUCCCUCACACCACUUAGGCCAAGUUGUCAUCCCCAGCAUGACAUGAGAGACGCGGUAUUGAAAUAUGCAAUUGCUCUUCUAAAUAAAUAAUGAAUAGGAUCUGCAAGCGCACAGAUUAAUACCGAUGCAACAUUUUAACCGGGAAGUAUUCCAGGUAUCGUUAUUUAUAUUUUUACCACUGGGAAGGGAUUAACAAUCAUCAAUAUUGAUUACAGAAUAGAAUAUAAGAUUGAGUAUCUAUCAUUGCAUGUAUAAUUGAGAACAUUUAUCUAACUCUUUCAUACAGGGAUAAGUGUCACAUAAAGGAUAUAUGAAAUAAUGAAUAGUGACAAAGAUAAUUAAUCUGAUCUAGCCACAUAAUAAAUAUGAUAAGCACCUCAAUUAGAUACUCUAGAAAGUCAUUAGCAUGGUAUUAGAAUGAACUACAAGAAUAUUCCCUAAGUUAUUCUCAACUAUAUAGUCUAGCAUUAUCAUAAUUAGUGCAAGUAUACUUAGCAAUCAUUGCGAGACAAGACUACGCCCAUGCAUAGUGAUAUUAGCAAGGUAAAUGAGAAACAUAACAAUCACUCCCCUGUAAUAAUAUUGCUCUACCAGCCCAAUACAUGAGAGGGGGACUAUAUAGGAAUCAAUGAAGCUGUCACUAUCACGAACUACCCCACGAUCUGGCAUAUUGGGUACAAUCGCAGAUAAAUAUGGUAUAAGCACCACGCCUACACAAUAUCUACCAUUUACCCAUGGAUCCGAUGGAUAAACGCUAUACGAUCCUAAGCAUGUAUAUAGAUCCAAUCUAACUAAGCCAAGUACAUAACUAUGAUAAACUUAGAACAAUAUAAUCUUGAAUAUAAGCAAGUAGAGCAAAGUCAUAAGCAAUAUAUUGAAGUAGAACAAAGUCAUAUUCAUAAUAUUGAAGAACAA
rnacentral:lncRNA from 1 species